UUGACCGGGCUUGGUCCGGACCGGAUUAACCGGGCUUAACCAAAAAAAUAAAUUCACCCGAGACCCAGUACCCUAAAGCUCUUGGACUUAUCGGGCCGGAUCAAACCGAGUUGAUUUCAUUAAAUGGGCUGGUUCGAUCAACCCGACCCAUUUGACAGGCUUAGUUGACACACGUUUUUCUCGCUAAUUACCUUUUGAUCAAAUCUAUAUUUAGGCCCAUUUAUUAUCCAGGGAUAAAAUAGUAAUUCACUUUCUCCACAUAUAUGCUAUAAAUAACCCCCACAGCAGCUAAACUCUCCCAUCAGUUAAUUAAAAAAGCAAAGGCCAAAAAAAAAAAAAAGACGUCUGACAGUUAAUCAAUGGCAGCGAUUCAGUCUUGCAUUUUCAGUUAUCAGCUAUAGAUUCCUAUAGUAAUUUUGUAUGUGCGAAUAUUUUUAUGGUUGUAUGUGCAUACAUACUAGAUCUGACUAACUGUUCAUCUUCGUUUUUUACGGCUCAUCUUUUUUUCAGCAGAGUCUUUCAGUUGUACGUUUCGGUUCAGUUCCGGUUAUCUCCAACGUAGAUAUAAAUCGUCACUCCCGAAGUCGAUGGACUUAGCUGCUUGUGGUUAUGCGGAAAAAAUUGGUAAUUAUAGAGAGAUGGCAGAUUCGGAGAAAUUGAGGGGCUUGUUCAUCAACUACCGUGGGAGCGAGCUAGACACCACUAGAGGAAGGUUGCUUCGUGAGAUUUGAAGAUUGAGGAGCCCACUGCCCAUUUUCGGUUAAUAAUAAUAAUACUUAAUAAUUAGGUAUGUUUUUUCAUCAUACAUAUUUUGUUUUAUUUUUAUUGAAUCUAAUUAAGGUAGUAAAUAUUUUGUAUUUAUGAAUGAAAAAUUAUGCAUUUGAUUGACUUGAGUUUAUUCUUUUUUAUUUUUAUUCUGUCAUUUUUUUUUCUUAAGAGGUAGUGAAAUAAAUCAAUCACAAAAAAUAUAAUAGAUGAGUUGGUUAAUACUAGGAAUCACUCGUACAUUUCCUGUGGUUUUGGGUUCGAUGUGCUUUUCCAACUAUGUAUACAUGUAUUGGUUAGUUAUCUACAUUUAAUAUAAGAAUCAAUUCCUCAGCA